UACGUAGGGGGCUAGCGUUGUCCGGAAUCAUUGGGCGUAAAGAGCGCGUAGGCGGCCCGAUAAGUCUGCUGUGAAAGUCCAGGGCUCAACCCUGGAAUGCCAGUGGAUACUGUCGGGCUAGAGUACGGAAGAGGCGAGUGGAAUUCCUGGUGUAGCGGUGAAAUGCGUAGAUAUCUGGAGGAACACCGGUGGCGAAGGCGGCAUCCUGGACCGACACUGACACUGAGGAGCGAAAGCCAGGGGAGCAAACGGG
rnacentral:rRNA from 1 species